rnacentral:rRNA from 1 species
GACGAACGCUGGCGGCGUGCCUAAUACAUGCAAGUCGAACGCAGUGGGGACGGGUGAGUAACACGUGGGUAACCUCCCAUCAGAGGGGAUAACACUUGGCAACAGGUGCUAAACCGCUACUGCUGGAUGAACCCGCGGUGCAUUAGCUAGUUGGUGAGGUAACGGCUCACCAAGGCCACGAUGCAUAGCAGAUGUGAGAGGAUGGUAGGCCACACGGGGACUGAGACACGGCCCAGACUCCUACGGGAGGCAGCAGUAGGGAAUCUGCGGCAAUGGACGAAAGUCUGACCGAGCAACGCCGCGUGAGUGAAGAAGGUUUUCGGAUCGUAAAACUCUGUUGUUAGAGAAGCGGUAUCUAACCAGAAAGCCACGGCUAACUACGUGCCAGCAGCCGCGGUAAUAC